UCGUCUCUCUAGAGCUCAUGGCGAUUAGAGUUUCACAAUAGUUAUUUCGUCUUCUUCCUCACUGUACGAAACGAUACCAGUCACCUAAUAAUACUCUUAAAACCCUCCAUUAAUACAUCACCCACGAUCCUUCCCUCUAAGCAAUACAGUAAACUUAUAUAUCCAGAAUAUAGCUAACGCAGCGAUCUUCCUUUCCGAUCUGAGGACCAUACGAUGCUCAUCCACCGUUCAAGUCCGUUUGCUCUGCUUCUGGGAGGUCAGGAACGUCCGACGUAUCAGCGAACUCAUGGGAGUCGAUAUGUUGCUGCUUGAUUCCCAGUCGACCAUGAUGCCGGCGACGGGAAUAUGAACCGGCUUGCAACUCAAAGCCCUAAUCUGAAUACGGUUUCACUAUAUUCCCUAGCCGGUUUUGAUGUGACCCGAUGUAAUCAGAAUUACCGGGACUCCUCUAUGAUGUUUUGUUUCGGAAAGUCUACCUUUUUUGAUGAGAUAACCGAACCGGCUAUUCCGAUAGGUGUGGAAUCUUUUCGGUUCCGUAAUCACAGCGAGCUGCUUGGUCUUGCCAGCACAAACUCUCAGCUUCCAGACAUCGUCGGUGAGAUAGCUGCCGUGAUGCCGACCCUCUGCAGAACAAUAACCGUCUGAUGGCAACCAUUAAAAUGGAUAAUGAUGUUUCGGUGACUAUGAGUCUGUUCGACUCACAGGCUGUCAAGCUCCACAAACAACUUGAAUCAUGGGAGGUGAUCCAAGGGUUCUGGUUCCAACCAGUAUCAACCCAAAAUUGUCGUCUGUUUCUGAAUGCUACUUCAGGCACACACAUAUAUUUUGACAAGGAAACCACCGCAGGGGAGGAUUAUUUCUACAGGCUGGUUGCCCAAUACACCGGGUUUCCAUAAGCAGCUCAAUUGCUAAAGAGCUACGCCAAGGAGAUUGAUUUCAUCUGCACCGUGAAGGUCACUGGUAUCAAGCUUAGAUAAUGGAUGGUGCUAUGUUUCUUGCUCCAACUGCAUCAAGAAGCUCCAACACACUGUCUCAGCUUUCACCUGUCUGCAUUGUACUAAUACUAAUGCUGUUGGUGUCCUAAGAUAUCGGGUGGAGAUGUCCAUUGAAGAUGAAACUGCUGAAGGCCUCUUUGUUUGUUUUGGCAGGGUUAUGACAAAACUGAAUAAUACGAGAGCCUACGAAGCUGACCAUGUUUUGGCUGGUGAUGGUUUGAACCCAGAGGACACUCAGGCACCUCCAUUUGUUGCAGGCAUGGAGUGUAGGACCUACACGUUCCAGGUCAAGGUCGGUGCAUACAACUUCACUGCAAACCAUCAAACCUUUAUGAUCUCCCGCAUCCUUAGUGAAGGUGACCGUAUGCCGCUCCGUAAAUUUAUUGGCAAUGGAGGCGAUGAUGACAAUGGAGACAACAACAGUGGUGCCAUCUCGGUUCGUUCUAAGGUGGAUACUGGUGGUAGCAGUCAGGUGCAAGGAUCCUCGGAAGUUAAGAAAAAAAUUGAUCCUUUUUUUUCCCUGUUUUGAUGACA